GACGAACGCUGGCGGCGUGCUUAACACAUGCAAGUCGAACGGUGAAGCGCCUUCCUUUUUGGUGGGUGUGGAUGAGUGGCGAACGGGUGAGUAACACGUGAGUAACCUGCCCCCUUCUUCUGGAUAACCGCAUGAAAGUGUGGCUAAUACGGGAUAUUCUGGGUCUGUCGCAUGAUGGGUCUGGGAAAGAUAUUGUUUCGGUGGGGGAUGGGCUCGCGGCCUAUCAGCUUGUUGGUGGGGUGAUGGCCUACCAAGGCGGUGACGGGUAGCCGGCCUGAGAGGGUGGACGGUCACACUGGGACUGAGACACGGCCCAGACUCCUACGGGAGGCAGCAGUGGGGAAUAUUGCAUAAUGGGCGCAAGCCUGAUGCAGCGACGCCGCGUGAGGGAUGGAGGCCUUCGGGUUGUGAACCUCUUUCGCCAGUGAAGCAGGCCUGCCUAGUUUGUGGGUGGGUUGACGGUAGCUGGAUAAGAAGCGCCGGCUAACUACGUG
rnacentral:rRNA from 1 species